AUUGAACGCUGGCGGCAGGCCUAACACAUGCAAGUCGAACGAGUGGCGGACGGGUGAGUAAUGUCUGGGAAACUGCCCGAUGGAGGGGGAUAACUACUGGAAACGGUAGCUAAUACCGCAUACCAUCGGAUGUGCCCAGAUGGGAUUAGCUAGUAGGUGGGGUAACGGCUCACCUAGGCGACGAUCCCUAGCUGGUCUGAGAGGAUGACGAGCCACGCUGGAACUGAGACACGGCCCAGACUCCUCCGGGAGGCAGCAGUGGGUAAUAUUGCACAAUGGGGGCAGGCCUGAUGCGGCCAUGCCGCGUGUAUGAAGAAGGCCUUCGGGUUGUAAAGUACUUUCAUGGAGAAUGCGUUACUCGCAGAAGAAGCACCGGCUAACUCCGUGCCAGCAGCCGCGGUAAUUC
rnacentral:rRNA from 1 species